AGUCUUUUCCAGCUCUAACCACAGUUAGAAUAAUACAGAGAAGAUUAGAAUGGCUUUUAUGCAAGGAUGACAUGCAAAUUCUUGCAGUAUUCCCAAUGAAU
ensembl:snRNA U6 U6 spliceosomal RNA